GUCACAACUUUCGUAAGAAGAUUUCUGGUCUGUUCUCUUACUUUCCAGCCUCCAAACAGGGAUGCUUCAUCUCUGCAGCACUGGAUUUAAAACACGUCUGCAAAUUUUUGGACCAUCAGGAGGUGGAAACUAACCCUUCCCCUUGAAGAUGGUCUGGACUUCGAGAUGAACAGAAUGAGCAAAUCAGAGGUGCAUCUGGGGUGUAUUUACACGGCGCAGCUAUCUGACGGCGGUGUUUUCAUCUGUCUGGGUUCCUGAAUGAGUAACAAGCAAACACAUAUGCAAGUCCUUGACUCACGGACCCUUAAUUAUUAGGCUUUUAAAGGAAAUAUGUGGAAACGUAUAGGAAUG